rnacentral:misc_RNA from 1 species
GCCUUGCCAAUGAUGUCUAGUGUCAAACGAGAGAAAAGUGAUUCCAUCUCUACAUCUUCCCCAUCAGAUGCAGCUGCAUCUAGCUUCUUGCAAAGCCUAUCUGUUGCUUGUGCAAAUAGGCCAAUCAUGGCCGCUACAUACUUCUGAUGCAAUGCUGGGACUAUAGCACGUCGUCGAACACGCCAUACUUCUCCAUCAGCUGGGAUGAGUCCCUUCCCCAUGACAAAUUCAAGAAUUUCUGCUAAGAUACCUUUUGAAUACGCUUUGGAAUUGUCCUUCAGUAUAUGUUUGGCAAUAGAAGGAUCAGAAACAAUUAAAACGGACUUAGGUCCAAAAGUCAAUCUAAAAAUUCCACCAUAUGCGAGGUAAAGCUCAUACAAGGGUAUGAAGAAUGCCUCACUCCUAAUGGCACUAACUGCUCCUUUUGCCUCAGGAAUCUUUGGAUAAUCUUCACCAUCAUCAACCCAUUUGAGUAAAAAUUCCAAAAUCUCAUUUGGAACACCUAGUUUUGACAAACCAUUCUUCAAUAUUGAUGGAAAACCAGAUUUCUUUACAGUGAACUCCCCAGAAGCAAUCCUAGCAGACAAUUCGGCACGUCGUUUUUCUUCAAGAAUUCUCUCUACACUCUCGACUCCACCUUCAGUUGACUCGGGCUCUUUCCCAUUCGAAGAAGCGCAAGAAAUAACAGCCAAUUUACACUUCCCACUUUGGAUUGGAGCGAAUAAAGAUGGAUUUAUGGGUUUAAAUUUUUUGACCAGAAGUUUGCUUUGGAUAGAGUGGUGCUGGUGCUGGUGUUGAGAAGAUAAGGAUGAAGGGACUUGAAGUAGAGAAAAAUGGGCAGCCAUUAGCCGCUGCCCUCUCUUGGUUUCGGAGGCUGCAGAGAAGAAUUAAAUGAAAAUCUAGGACUAUUAGCGAUGAUCAAUAGUGAGAAGAGAGGGAAAGUAGCGGACGAUGGGGUCUAUCUAUGAGUUUAUGUGUUUGUUUUAGC